UCCUACGGGAGGCAGCAGUCGGGAAUUUUGGGCAAUGGGGGAAACCCUGACCCAGCAACGCCGCGUGAAGGAUGAAGUAUUUCGGUAUGUAAACUUCGAAAGAAUAGGAAGAAUCAAUGACGGUACUAUUAUAA
rnacentral:rRNA from 1 species